GGUAACUUCCAGUAAACAGGUGUUUGUUGUAGGGUUCUCAGGACUCCGGCAUGCACGCCCACGCAGUACUGAUGGCACACGUUCAUGAGGUGAAUAGACGAGACAUAAUUGGUGCAUCAUGUUUGGGGGACAUAGUCAUAGCAUAUUGGUUUAAAAAGUACUGACAUAUACAAACCACAGACAUGUACAUAUUUACUUUAGUUCAUGUGUAAUAAUGACCAGACACUUGUAUCCUUACGCGUCAUUUCACCUUUCUUGGCACACUUGAACGUUGGGCCAGUAACCGAAAGGUCCCAAGUUCGAAUCCCACGAGCAGACAAGGUUUUGAACAGUGCCACAGAAGGGUGGAGAAUAGAGCCAGAGUAUUGAUUUGAGUAAGGACCUGAGCCCUAGGACCAUGCCUCAGGACUACCUGGCAUGAUGACUCCUUGCU